CCAGUACCUGAGCAGCUACCCUAUGGCUCCAGCUAGGGCUGCCUGCUCCUGGCUGUUGUAGCAGGCCAUAGCCUCUGGCCAGCGCCCUCUCCCCAACAGGGAGCCCGGGAGGUAUCCAGAGGCCUUGAGGGGUGACGUCCGCAGGGGAGCUGCACAGAGGCCUUGUCCUGGACACCAGGUUGGGCAGACUUGGCAGACUUGGACGGUGCUGCCGCGGGAACCUGGCUGCAGAGGGAGGACAGGUUCCGGCGGCCUGCGGCUGAGGACUGUGUCAUGGCCAUGCUGCGUUGGCCUGGGCCGGCCCAGCAGCCAGGUGCCACUGGAACACAUCGCCUCCUGGCCUGGUCGGAUACCAGUGACACUGCAGAGCCAUGGUGCAUAGCUUGCAGGCUGCCUGUGUGGUCCUCUGACCAGGAGGCCCAGGAUGGAAGACAGCUCAGUAUCCUCUGGCCCCCUGUCUGGCUCCUCCGGGGGCCAUAUGCCUUGUGCCCCUCCCCAUGGACCCUGGAAGGAGAGGCCACCCCUGGUCUCAGCAUUGCAGCAGCUGCCCAGAAAGAGUGACCCAAGGCUAGAACGGCUGCGGGACCGGAUCCGCCAGCAGGCAUGGGGGCAGGCAAGCUGUGCCUCCUUGGGCACCUCAGCCCCCUCCAGCACCUCAUACCUCUGCUCCACCUCCACGCUGGCGCCCAGGAGGAGGACCCGCAAGGUGACAGCCGCCCUUCCAGCCCCCGCACACCCAGGUUUCAGCAUCCUCCGCAUGAUGAAGCCUCAAGGGAGAGAUCAGAUGUUCCUAGGCGCGGGGCGGGAGCUCUCUCGGGCCACCUGGCACCAGACUCCGGGGAACCGCGAGGAGGUCCUGCCACUCACCUCCCGGCCUCACACCCGCUCUCCUCCCCAUCGAGGUCCCCGAGACAAACCCAGGAGGACUCGAAGCCGCUCCUGCAGGAGGGACAAGGGCCCUGGGUCACCCUCACCCAGCAGAGCCGCCAAAGGCAAAGAUCCCGAGUCCAUUGGUGUUCAUGCCUGGAGGAGGGGACGGGAGCUGGCAUGGCUGCUGCUGGGGCCGCCACCCUCCCAGACCACCCGGCGCACCCGGCCCGCGCGCCAGAGUGCAGAGCCCUCGAGGGACCUGGGCCCCGCCGUGGGAUUAGGUAGCUCCCGCCUGUGCCAUGCUCUGACUCGCUCUGCCACAGCGCCAGGAGGGGACUUCAAGAAGGCUUUGGCCUCGGAGGGCUCAUCAGUCCACACCUGGCCAGAGAGGCCCACUUCAGCCAGCAGUGGCCCGCAGGUGUCGGAGAACACAGUCAGCCUGGCUUCCCACAGCCAGCAGGCGACGAUCCAGAGUGCCAUGGCCAUCCUGCAAGAUCUCCGCCAGCAGAUUCAGGCUGGGCUGGAGCUGGCACAGAGCCCUAAGCACAGGCUGAAGCACAAGAUGUCUAAGAUGAAGCCACAGAACCUGGCCCAGCAGGGUACCCGGAACAAUUGGCUCAGGCAGGGCUCCUUCCUGAAGAGUCCUUGCAACACGCCCGAGGGGACACACUCUAACCUGGACAGGGCCAGGCGUGCCCAUCCCCAGCAGGCCUCGAGCACCUCGACCGAGUGGGAGCCCUGUCCCCAGAGGGCCCGGGCAGCCAGAGGAUGGGAGCCCUGCUUCCAGAGACCUAGGAGCCCUCCUGAGAAGCUGAGCCCCUUUCCCCAGCAGCCCUGGAGUGUCCUUCCCAGGCAGGCCUGUCCUCAACAGGCCUGGGUGAAGAGUAAAGACUGGGGAGUCCCUGAGCCCAGACCAUGGAGCCCUAAGGAAAGACUGCGUCCUGCCCCGCGGCGCAAUGGUUCCUACCUGAAGAGGACUGGAUCCUCCUGCAAGGGCAGAGGUGCCACCACCCCUCCCUCUGAAGCCAGGCAGGCCUGGCUGUGGAGCUCCCCACGGCAGGAGCCUAAGGUGUGGUCGUGCCCACCCCACCUGCAACCCCGGAGGCCCCUGGGCCACUCACGUGGCUCCGAGGCCCUGUGUGACUUUAUGUGCCAGAAGGCACAGGCAGAGCGGCAGCAGGCCCUUCAGCAGACGGCCAUGGCCACAGACGUGCUGGAGCAGAGAAGCCAGCGGCUGCAGGAGGUCUACCGGAGGCAGAGAGAGGCCAUGCAGGGCAAGACAGUCCCUGUGGUCUCCCAGACCAGUCCUGGCAUUGUCACCUUCGUGCCCAGUUCAGCACAGUCGGAGGUCCUGAAAGCCCCUGGGAGCCUGGAGCCACCUGAGCGGGGCUGGAGCAAGGUGACUUCCGGUGUGGUACUGGGGGACCAGGAGAUACCCGGCAGCUUCUGUCUGUGUCUGAAUAGAGCCUGGAACCGCCCAGCGACGCCCCUGCCCGUGUCAGCCUCCUUGCCACGCUCCCUGCAGCUCCAGGACCCAGGCCGGGGGCUGCACAUCUGCCUGGACCCACAGGCAGCUGAGCGUCUGAGUCUGUAUGGCCCCCUGCAUGCACAGCACAAGCAGGCCCGGCUGCAGGCGCUGGAGACCAUGGCCGAUGUCCUGCAGCAGCGCAUUGACAUCCUGACCGCCAAGCUCCGCCAGAGUGAGACAUCGGCCACCACCCAGGACCUGGCCUCUGAGCUGCUGCCCCUGGGGCCCAGCACCACGCCUUCUGCCCUGGCCUGCCCUGGGGCCUUGGUGCCCAGUGGAGAGAGAGGGUCACCUCGUGAGGACUUCCUGGACAUGAAACCGCUGCCUCGGGCCCCGGUGAUCAGCUCUGAGAGCCAGCACCAAGGUGCCCUGCAGGAGGGACACUGGCAGCCUGAGCAGAGGCUAUGUGGAGACUCGGCUGUCUUCCAAGCCGCUGGCACCGGCGCAGGGAGCACACUGAGGGUGGCUGCUGCCCCGCACCCCACCUGCGGCUCCCCGUGGCUGGAGGAGAAGCCAGCGGCCAGAGGGGCAGGCUUGACAAUGCCCUGGACCCCCCGGAGCUGUGGUAAGGGCGAGCCUGUGGACAGGCCUUGGGCUGGCUGGCCAGGUGGCCAGGGGCAUCUGCCGGGGACCCCGGCCACUGCCUAG
ensembl:lincRNA